rnacentral:tRNA from 1 species
AGUAUUAUGUCUGAUUUAAGUAAUAAACUGUAAAUUUAUUCAAAAGAUAAAAUUAUCUUUAAUACUU